rnacentral:rRNA from 1 species
ACAUACGACCAUAGGGUGUGGAGAACAGGGCUUCCCGUCCGCUCAGCCGUACUUAAGCCACACGCCGGGAGGUUAGUAGUUGGGUGGGUGACCACCAGCGAAUCCC